GACAGAGGGUGCAAACGUUGUUCGGAAUUACUGGGCGUAAAGCGCACGUAGGCGGCGCGUUAAGUCGGGUGUGAAAGCCCUGGGCUCAACCCAGGAAGUGCAUUCGAAACUGGCGCGCUUGAAUAUGGAAGAGGGUCGCGGAAUUCCCGGUGUAGAGGUGAAAUUCGUAGAUAUCGGGAGGAACACCAGUGGCGAAGGCGGCGACCUGGGCCAAUAUUGACGCUGAGGUGCGAAAGCGUGGGGAGCAAACAGG
rnacentral:rRNA from 1 species